AAGAAAUGGAUCCUAAGCAGCCAUCAGAGCGAGUUAAAAUGUCCUGAGGACCAAUCAGUGCACAGAAUGAGCAGCCGUGAUGAAGGUUUUCUGGGUGGUUGUUGGUGCGUCUAAAGUAGUUCAGGUGGAAUGAUGUCUGCUCCAGCCUUUAAUGUCCCCCAGACUGCAGCAGCAGGGAGGAUGGGGGCUUCAGCUCAGCUCCAGGCUGUGUGAAGCACAGGAGCGCUAGCAGUUAGCAGCUCUGAUAAAGGCUGAAUCAUUGAUGAUGAUGAUGAUGAUGGUGCCGUGUCGCUGCACUCUUGACCUUCUCACUGUUUUCUUAUUCCACAGCAGGAAAUUGUUAUCCCGCUGCUAAACAGUGCGGUUAUUCAGUGGCGCCUCUAAAUUUCUAUGGCCCCAAGCUGCAGCAGCGGUGGCAGGCUGAUGGUCAGCAGGCUCAGGGUGGCAGCUGUCCGUCAGGAUGGGAGGACGUUACCGCCGGUUACCCCCCUAUGGCCUCCCAGGAGCUGGCCUUCUACCACGCCUACAGCGGCGGCUGGCGGAGCAGAAGCGGUAUACUCUGACCUUCACCUGCAUGUCAGCGUGUAGAGCUGCCCUCGGGGGGGUGUGGCCUAAAGGGGUCACAGCUUGGAGAGGAGCCUGAUUCCCUGCAUCAUGUGGGCGGCUGGCGGCGGCAAUGCUGCAAGUCUGGAUCCUUUAGAAGGGUCUCUGGACGAGGCGCCUCGAUAAAUAUAUAUCGGCUCUAUGGAAACGGUCUGCUGGACAUGGAGUAUAGAUCUAUAGAUCUGCAGCUGAUUGGUUUCUGCUCACAUCAUCCAUCAUGGCUGCAGCUGCUGCCCACCAUGCAGGAACCGGCCUCUGUCCUGCAGUCUAACUCGCCGUUAACAUGGAGUCCAUUGGCUGUGUGAGCUAAAGGCUUGGUGUGUGCUUACUAAUGGCGUCUAAAGCCCGCCGUACACUGCGACUAAAAACCACG